UUUUUUUUUUUUUUUUUUUUUUUAAGAGAUAGGUAGCACGCUAUCCGUUUCGUUUAUUUCAUUUAGAAAUAAACUUAGCUGGAAAUGUGAAUCAAUUUGAAUUCGAACUUGGAUCUCGGGUACUAACUAUCAAGCCCUUUUGCCACUUACUCUAGGGACGGUCGGUCGCUGUGUUCCAUAUUGAGGCAUCUCUUUUGAGAUUUAAGGUUUUUUUAAAAAAAGUAACAAGAGAAAUAGAAAAAAUAAAGGUCCCAAAAAGUCUAUAGGUGUAUGAUUUACACUAUAAAAAGAAGGGUGAAUUAAUGAGUAAGAGCAUAUUAAAUAAGAUUCUGCAUGUGCGCGAAAAAUUUUACAUGGAUUAUGAUCGCGCCGUGAGUGACAGGAUUAAUUGAUGGUGAUUGCUAAUGUAUCAUUUUGCAUCUGGAAACACAACAGCGUAAUACACACGACUCUCCCAGUUGCUCUGGAAUAUUCAUUAAUUUAAUUGUCACGUCGUUGUCAUGCAUAUACGUGUCUAUUUUAAUUGGUUGCAGAUGAGAAAAUCCACUGCUUGUAAUAAUGUCGAAUUUUCAACAAAUUAUGUAUUACGUUAUAUACACAUAUAAAUACAAUAUUAAAGAGAAUGGAGUUUGAAUGGACUACUAUCGGUAGUAAACUGCUCAGUUUACUAUCAAUUUGUUUUUUAUGAUAGAGCUUUCAAAUCGACGAUCGACACCGUUGAACAUGAUUUAGACCAUUUAAAUUAUCUAGAAAUCAAAUUUCAUGAUUUUUUGGUAUCACUAACUGAACGUUUAAAGAGUCACAAAAUCUAUAAUUUUAAUGGCCGAUAUGGUGCGUUUGCUCGUUUAACGGUAUAGAAGAGUUCAAAUCAACUAAUAUUUUGUUAAAAAAUUCUUUAAACUAUUUAAAAUAAGAUCUAAACUCUAGAUCUCAUAUAUAAAAAUUAUAUCAUCACUUUUUGAAGGAUAUUCAUUUCCAGCCAUUCAUUUUUCUGCUCACUUGAUGGACAAGAGAACAAUAUCGAAAAUGUGUGAAAUUUGAUUUCCAGAUAGCUUAAAUAGUUUAGAUCAUAUUUAACGAUACUGAUCAUCAAUUUGGAAGCUCUAUCAUCGAAAACAAAUCGGUAGUAAAUCGAACCGUUUACUACCGAUAAUAUUCUAGCAAAACUCAAUAGAAUGACAUAUAUAUUUUUUUUGGAACAUUCUUGUAGAAUAAGAAAA
rnacentral:lncRNA from 1 species